rnacentral:rRNA from 1 species
GACGAACCGUGCGAACGUUAUUCGGAAUCACUGGGCUUAAAGCGCGUGUAGGCGGGCCGGCACGUCGGUCGUUGAAAUCCCCCGGCUCAACCGGGGAAGCGGCGCCGAUACGACCGGCCUCGAGGGACGUAGGGGGGGCUGGAACUUCCGGUGGAGCGGUGGAAUGCGCAGAUAUCAGGAGGAACACCGGUGGCGAAGGCGGGUCUCUGGGCAGUAACUGACGCUGAGGAGCGAAAGCGUGGGGAGCAAACAGG